rnacentral:rRNA from 1 species
AGAGUUUGAUUCUGGCUCAGAGCGAACGCUGGCGGUAUGCUUAACACAUGCAAGUCGAGCGCGAAAGUGACUUCGGUCAUGAGUAGAGCGGCGGACGGGUGCGUAACACGUGGAUAAUCUGCCUUUAGGACUGGGAUAACUCUGGGAAACUAGGGCUAAUACCGGAUAAGACCACAGGUUCCAUGGAACCAGGGGUAAAAGGCGGCUUUCGGGCUGUCACCAAAAGAUGAGUCCGCGUCCCAUCAGGUAGUUGGUGAGGUAACGGCUCACCAAGCCGAAGACGGGUAGCCGACCUUAGCGGGUGAUCGGCCACACGGGGACUGAGACACGGCCCCGACUCCUACGGGAGGCAGCAGUGGGGAAUCUUGGGCAAUGGGCGCAAGCCUGACCCAGCAAUACCGCGUGAGGGAUGAAGGCCUUCGGGUCGUAAACCUCUGUCAGUAGGAACGAUGGGUUUCCGGGCUAAUAUCCCGGAGACUUGACGGUACUUACAAAGGAAGCCCCGGCUAACUCCGUGCCAGCAGCCGCGGUAAUACGGAGGGGGCAAGCGUUGCUCGGAAUUACUGGGCGUAAAGGGUCCGCAGGUGGCCUCGUAAGUUAGAUGUGAAAUCUUAGGGCUUAACCCUGAAACUGCAUCUAAGACUGCAAGGCUCGAGUCCGGGAGAGGUUGGCGGAAUUCCAGGUGUAGCGGUGAAAUGCGUAGAUAUCUGGAGGAACACCAGUGGCGAAGGCGGCCAACUGGCCCGGUACUGACACUCAGGGACGAAAGCGUGGGUAGCGAACCGGAUUAGAUACCCGGGUAGUCCACGCCCUAAACGUUGGAUGCUAGGUGUGGGGAUGAAAAUCUCUGUGCCGAAGUUAACGCAUUAAGCAUCCCGCCUGGGGAGUACGGUCGCAAGAUUGAAACUCAAAGGAAUUGGCGGGGGCCCGCACAAGCGGUGGAGCAUGUGGUUUAAUUCGAUGCUAAGCGAA